AGUCGAGAAUCUUCGGCAAUGGGCGCAAGCCUGACCGAGCGACGCCGCGUGAGCGAUGAAGGCCUUCGGGUUGUAAAGCUCUGUCGAGAGGGAGAAAGGCCGCAAGGCGUGAUCGACCUCUGGAGGAAGCACGGGCUAAGUUCGUGCCAGCAGCCGCGGUAAGACGAACCGUGCGAACGUUAUUCGGAAUCACUGGGCUUAAAGGGCGCGUAGGCGGGCCGAAAAGCCAAGGGUGAAAGCCUCCAGCUCAACUGGAGAAGCGCCUUUGGAACUGGCGGCCUUGAGGGGUGCAGGGGCAUGCGGAACUCAGGGUGGAGCGGUGAAAUGCGUAGAUAUCCUGAGGAACACCGGUGGCGAAAGCGGCGUGCUGGACACCUUCUGACGCUGAGGCGCGAAAGCCAGGGGAGCGAA
rnacentral:rRNA from 1 species